CCUUUGCCGGCGACCGGCGCACGGGUGAGUAACACGUAUGCAACCUGCCCUCUUCAGGGGGACAACCUUCCGAAAGGGAGGCUAAUCCCGCGUAUAUCGGUUUCGGGCAUCCGAGAUCGAGGAAAGAUUCAUCGGAAGAGGAUGGGCAUGCGGCGCAUUAGCUAGACGGCGGGGUAACGGCCCACCGUGGCGACGAUGCGUAGGGGUUCUGAGAGGAAGGUCCCCCACACUGGUACUGAGACACGGCCCAAACUCCUACGGGAGGCAGCAG
rnacentral:rRNA from 1 species